GACUGUGAAGAUUAUGUGCAUAUGAUAAAAUUCAAUCCAUUUGAUAGUGUAGAUGCAUGUUCCCUCAUUGCAUAUGGUGGCAAUAACUAUGUAGUUGUAGGGACAUGUAGAUUUCAGGAAGAGGAUGCAGAAGUGGAAGGCAUGCAAUAUAAGACACUACGAACAUUUUGUCAUGGAAUCAGAGUUGAUGCCAUAGCAAGGAGUCCAGAAACUAGACUUGAUGUUUUACCUCCCCAGAUAAGGUUUUGUACAGCAGCUUCUGAUAGGAAGUUAAGGCUAUUUACUUCAGACCUGCAGGACAAGAAUGAAUAUAAGGUAAGGGUAACUGAGCUGAUUUUGAAUAUUUCUUUAGUCUCUAGUGGAGUCUAAUCUUUCACUGACCUUGUGCCUCACUUUUCUUAAUGUACAGUAUGAUGUAGAACACUAAACUCUGGCAGACCCAUCAUCUCUAGCAAGGAUCAGUGUAUUGAAUAUACCUUUCUAUCUUUAAAGUGGGCAUAACUAAUUAUCAGCUAUAUUAUAUUUUGAUUUAAAAGUAUUUAUGUAACAGCCAAAUUGACAAAAAGUAAGUAGAGGUUUAUUUGUGGUCUAAAACAUGGUC